GACGAACGCUGGCGGCGUGCUUAACACAUGCAAGUCGAACGGAAAGGCCCUGCUUUUGUGGGGUGCUCGAGUGGCGAACGGGUGAGUAACACGUGAGUAACCUGCCCUUGACUUUGGGAUAACUUCAGGAAACUGGGGCUAAUACCGGAUAGGAGCUCCUGCUGCAUGGUGGGGGUUGGAAAGUUUCGGCGGUUGGGGAUGGACUCGCGGCUUAUCAGCUUGUUGGUGGGGUAGUGGCUUACCAAGGCUUUGACGGGUAGCCGGCCUGAGAGGGUGACCGGGCCACAUGGGGGUGGGGAUACGGCCCAGACCCCUACGGGGGGGGGAGGGGGGGAAAAUGGCACAAGGGGGGAAAGCCUGUGGCGGAAACCCGGCGGGGGGGGGGAGGGCCUUGGGGUGGAAAACCGCUUUCCCCUGGGACAAGGCGUAAGGGAGGGAAAUGGGGAAAAAAGCACCGGCAAACUACGU
rnacentral:rRNA from 1 species